rnacentral:rRNA from 1 species
UGGCGGCAGGCCUAACACAUGCAAGUCGAGCGGUAGAGAGAAGCUUGCUUCUCUUGAGAGCGGCGGACGGGUGAGUAAUGCCUAGGAAUCUGCCUGGUAGUGGGGGAUAACGUUCGGAAACGGACGCUAAUACCGCAUACGUCCUACGGGAGAAAGCAGGGGACCUUCGGGCCUUGCGCUAUCAGAUGAGCCUAGGUCGGAUUAGCUAGUUGGUGAGGUAAUGGCUCACCAAGGCGACGAUCCGUAACUGGUCUGAGAGGAUGAUCAGUCACACUGGAACUGAGACACGGUCCAGACUCCUACGGGAGGCAGCAGUGGGGAAUAUUGGACAAUGGGCGAAAGCCUGAUCCAGCCAUGCCGCGUGUGUGAAGAAGGUCUUCGGAUUGUAAAGCACUUUAAGUUGGGAGGAAGGGUUGUAGAUUAAUACUCUGCAAUUUUGACGUUACCGACAGAAUAAGCACCGGCUAACUCUGUGCCAGCAGCCGCGGUAAAUA